rnacentral:rRNA from 1 species
GAUGAACGCUAGCGGCAGGCCUAAUACAUGCAAGUCGAACGGGAUCCAGAUCAAAGCUUGCUUUGGUCUGGUGAGAGUGGCGCACGGGUGCGUAACGCGUGAGCAACCUACCCUUGUCAGGGGGAUAGCCCGGCGAAAGUCGGAUUAAUACCGCAUGACAUCAUUGAGAGGCAUCUUUCGAUGAUCAAAGAUUUAUCGGACAAGGAUGGGCUCGCGUGACAUUAGCUAGUUGGUAAGGUAACGGCUUACCAAGGCUGCGAUGUCUAGGGGCUCUGAGAGGAGAAUCCCCCACACUGGUACUGAGACACGGACCAGACUCCUACGGGAGGCAGCAGUAAGGAAUAUUGGUCAAGGGACGGAAGUCUGAACCAGCCAUGCCGCGUGCAGGAAGACGGCCCUAUGGGUUGUAAACUGCUUUUAUACGGGAACAAACGUCGGUACGGGUACCGGUCUGAGUGUACCGUAAGAAUAAGGAUCGGCUAACUCCGUG